GACAGAGGUGCCGAGCGUUAGGCGGAAUCACUGGGCUUAAAGUGUGUGUAGGCGGAUCGUUAAGUGCCUUGUGAAAUCCCACGGCUCAACCGUGGAACUGCUUGGCAUACUGGCGAUCUUGAGCCACUUAGGGGCUACCGGAACAAAUGGUGGAGCGGUGAAAUGCGUAGAUAUCAUUUGGAACGCCAAUGGUGAAAACAGGUAGCUGGGAGUGUGCUGACGCUGAGACACGAAAGCCAGGGGAGCAAACGGG
rnacentral:rRNA from 1 species